rnacentral:rRNA from 1 species
GUGGGGAAUUUUGGACAAUGGGCGAAAGCCUGAUCCAGCCAUGCCGCGUGCAGGAUGAAGGCCUUCGGGUUGUAAACUGCUUUUGUACGGAANGAAAAGACUCUGGUUAAUACCUGGGGUCCAUGACGGUACCGUAAGAAUAAGCACCGGCUAACUACGUGCCAGCAGCCGCGGUAAUACGUAGGGUGCAAGCGUUAAUCGGAAUUACUGGGCGUAAAGCGUGCGCAGGCGGUUAUAUAAGACAGAUGUGAAAUCCCCGGGCUCAACCUGGGAACUGCAUUUGUGACUGUAUAGCUAGAGUACGGCAGAGGGGGAUGGAAUUCCGCGUGUAGCAGUGAAAUGCGUAGAUAUGCGGAGGAACACCGAUGGCGAAGGCAAUCCCCUGGGCCUGUACUGACGCUCAUGCACGAAAGCGUGGGGAGCAAACAGGAUUAGAUACCC